CCUACGGGAGGCAGCAGUAGGGAAUAUUGCUCAAUGGGGGAAACCCUGAAGCAGCAACGCCGCGUGGAGGAUGAAGGUUUUAGGAUUGUAAACUCCUUUUGUUAGAGAAGAUUAUGACGGUAUCUCACGAAUAAGCACCGGCUAACUCCGUGCCAGCAGCCGCGGUAAUACGGAGGGUGCAAGCGUUACUCGGAAUCACUGGGCGUAAAGAGUGCGUAGGCGGGGUUAUAAGUCAGAUGUGAAAUCCGGUAGCUUAACUACAGAACUGCAUUUGAAACUGUGACUCUGGCGUGUGGGAGAGGUAGGUGGAAUGCUUGGUGUAGGGGUAAAAUCCGUAGAGAUCAAGAGGAAUACUCAUUGCGAAGGCGACCUAUUGGAACAUUACUGACGCUGAUGCACGAAAGCGUGGGGAGCAAACAGGAUUAGAUACCCGAGUAGUC
rnacentral:rRNA from 1 species